rnacentral:lncRNA from 1 species
AAGAAGGAUCUGUUCCCGUUGCCCAAGGACUACCAUGUGGACUCUUUCCAGAAACAGGAUGUCCCCGAUGUCCUUUCUUUACUUCAAUCUCCUGAAGAAUCUGCAAAUUGUCUUGAAGAGAGUGUUACAGGAUCAGGUCAGUACUUAUGAUGACUUGCUUAUAUCUUCUUGACUCACCUAAACUCUAACAAGUCAUCUGUAAAAGAUUAUCUCAUGACUCUUUUACAUCAGGAUCUUGUCAGACUAGUGGGCAACAAUGUAUAAAUGAAGUCAGCGGUAUGCAGGUGACUUCUAAUAUUGAAGUGUUCCAUCAAGGUCAUGAGGAAAGCUAUGAAAAUAAUGACGGCAAAAUUACUCCUGGUAUCCCUGCCAGCGGUGUGUCUGAAGCUGUAGAUAUUGAAAGAUCGGAAACGGAAAUAGGUCUGGCUCCUCCUGGAGGAACAUCAGCAUUGCCAGAUGAGCAGCUUAACAUGAAGGUUGAGAGCCACGAAGUUGAUGAAUACAGCUGUUGCUAUGAUGAGGACACUUCGAGCUUAUUUGACACUGAAUCGCUGUGCAGCAAAGCAUCCAGUUUGGACAAAGACACUCACAAGGAUCCUCCAAGUGAUCUAUCUACUCUGAGGUCCCCCGAAGUAUCUACAGUUUUUCAGAACCAGUCUGUUCCAGGAUCAGUAGGUAUCAUGUUGCUCGAUCAGAAUGUCCUGUUCAAUUUCUUAUUGUAGUAUUUGCAGCACCUCUGACUCUACCCUUCCUUCCGUUUUUCAAUUAGGAAUCUGUCAAAGCAGCAGGCGAAGAGGUAUAGAUGAACUCCGUGCUAAGCUGCAGAGUUUCAAAGUUUCCAGCACCGUAAAAGGAAGCUACAUUGCUAUGAGCGCCCCUCGCCCGAAGCCAGGUGACAACCUGGGCCAAUCUGCGAUCGCCUUGCUCCGGAACAGGGAGAACGCACCUCCUGCUAAAGCAGGCCAUCAUGCUAUGCCGAACCCUGAUCGCUCGGUCGCGAAGGAGUCGUCAAGACUAGCGCUGCAGCCGAUCAGUGGAAGACCAAGGGAUCACUGAUAGGUAGUUGGUCGUACACCGUAGUUUGUUGUUGACAUUUCGCAUUUGUGUUCAACAUUUGGUGGUGGUGGUGUUCAACCUUUGGUUGAAGAUUAUUGGGUGUGUUCGUGCAGCAUGUAGUGAAGAAGCUGCUCUGUGCAUUUGUUAGUAUUUAAUUAACGUAGUGUGGCCAUGGUAGCAGUGUUUAAGAAGCUGGUAGUCGUGCAGAUGGUUAUGCAAGUGUUGCUUUGGUUUGUACCAUUCCAGUUAUCGUGGACAGAUUUGUUAUGGUCCAUGGUGUUAUUGAUACCUGUAUGCUUGCUUGAACUAAUCUCUUGCGAUGGCUUACGAGAUGCGUGUUGCUGAUCUCCUCAGUUUCAUCUGUUCUGCUGACUUGAGCAUCUGUCGUUUUUGCCUAAUCGAUCUGUUUUAUUAGUACGGUGCUGCUAGUUUGGAAAGUGUAUGUGCCCACUAGCGGCAUUGUCACCGUCCUCCGUGUCGAAGCUGAAGCUUGGUUUGCGCGGUCGAGGAGGCAGGAGAGAAUGAAGUAGCAGGCUAUUCGGAGUAGAAGUUCCUCAGGUCGUUUGGUGUUCCGUGAUCAUGCAUGCUCUGCAAUGGAUAGCAAUCAAUAGUGAUCCACGAUCCUUUGGCAUUCUCUUCCAUGAACGCACGCAUGCACUCACGUAGUCACGUCCGCCGCCCACCCACAAUUCAACCACGUACGUUAUAGAAACUCCACUGAAUCGUCGUCUGUCAUUUUAAUUCCGGCCACCUAGCGCUGCUAUAUAAAUAGACCUCGCUGCUGGACACCAUAGUCACGAGCUCACGACGCGCAGCCUGCAGCCACUCCACUGCCGUAACACACAUAGUAGUCGAAGCAAAGCAAUGGCGCAGCUCCUACGUCUCGCCGCCGCCGUCGCGCUGCUCGUCUUCCUCGCCGCGACGGCUCCUGCGGCCGACGCUGGCCGGGGCGCCCCCACCUCCGCCGCCCCGCCUCUGGCGGCUCGCCUGCGCGCCUUCUCCGUCUCCCUCGACGGUGAACUUAAGAUUAACUAGCUAGCUCGUUCUCCUGCUAACUUUUCUUGUUGUAUCUAACAAACCUGAUCUGUUCACGUGCAGAGGCCGGCGAGGACGGCGGCGGCGCCGGCGGUUUCGCGGAGUGCUGGGACGCGCUGACGAGGCUGGGGUCGUGCACGAGCGAGAUCGUGCUCUUCUUCGUCAACGGCGAGUCGUACAUCGGGCCCGAGUGCUGCGUCGCCAUCCGCGGCGCCACGCGGCACUGCUGGCCCUCCAUGCUCGCCGCCGCCGGCUUCACCGCCGAGGAGGCCGACGUCCUGCGCGGGUUUUGUGACGCCGAGGCCGCACACAAGGGCAGCCCGCCCCCCGCGGGGCCCGUCCCCGCGCCCGGGAAGCCUCUCGUGUGAUCGUGUCGGGAUCCUCCAAUAAAAAAGCUCCGUGCCAGUGUCAAUUUUGCUUGGGCCUUGGGCUUCUACACGCGCACGUUUGCUGCUGAAUAUAUGCAUUGUGUUUCUGGUUUUGUAAGAAUGUGCCAACGAUGAUGGUGCAAGGCUAAUAAAACGGAUUGAGUGCACCAGCAUGCUCAUGAUUGAUGGUUCAUUUCUUUCUUUCUUUUUCCUUUUUUUUGGGGGUCAAAGCGUGCACAACCAAGCCAGCGUUUUGAGGCCGGAGCCGCACGUGGGCUCGAUCGUUCGAUGUGUUCUGAGGUUUGCAGUGGCCCACCACGCAGGACGAUUUGGGCUGAGCCCUGUGAAUUUGUUGUCCAGCCUCUCUUUCUUCUUCGGUGGACAGGGCACUAUUGCGCUUUUUGUUCAUCGUCCCUAGCGCUAGCGGCAUAGCUACACUCAGACUAAGAUAAGAGAAAUCCUUGCCACAUUUCUUUUAAGAAAACAAACGCAAAAAAACCAAAAAAUCUGGCUCGUUUCAUGACACGAAUUGGUUGCACGGAGCCGAUCGAGUACACUACCAAGUGGCAACGUGCAGAGAGAUGCUGCCCAUCAUCCGAAAGAGGCUCCACCGCACCACGGACAGCCACCCAUUCUCUCUUCAGCCAUCGAUCAUCCAUGUGUAUCUUUCCAGUUCGCUGAUCGAUCUCUGCAUCAGCAUGGUGCCUGUCCAUCUGUACCGCUACUGAUAAGGGCUCUCCCUGGCGCGAUUCGAUGCAACGCCACAUCGACCGGCCAGCAAUAAUGGAGAUGGAGAUGGAGAUGGAGAUGCAGGCCGGCAGCAGCUGCCUGCAUUAUUGAUGCCUUCGAUUGGAUCCAAAGUUCCCAACCUACGUACCAUCACUGCUUUGGAUCGGUGCUAAAGGCACUCAGUCACCAAGCACAAAUCUUGUUUUACUUGAAUCAUCUUUUCCCCGAGCUUUUACAAAGUUAAGUUGAUGAUUCUUCUUGUUGAACUGGUGCUUAGCUUAAUUAGUUGGUGUGUGCUUCCCUACUGACCAGUCAUGACUCAUGAGUAGUAUUCCAUAACUGAAAAUUACGUGCCUCUUUUCACUCCAACGAGGAAACCUUAAUUUGUUUUUUAGAAAUUUUAGAAUGGUUGGAAAAAAUAAGAGCCGUCCAUCCUGAAAAAUCUAACGGUGGAAACAAAGGAAGUAUUUGAAGAGAAGUACCAAAGAUUACCAAAUUGAUAGGACAAAGUACCGAAAAUAGUCUUUAAAUUUAUUUUUUAUUUUUUUUCAAAUUAGACAGAGCCUGUUCGUUUAUGCUACUUUGCAGCGGCUUUAGCUGCAGCUGCAAAUCCAAGUAGCUAAGCUGCUGCUUGCUGGCUGCAGCUGCAAAAUAAUCGCAGCUCGCAGCGGCUUAAAAGAAGCACAAAUGACCGCACAGAUAGUACACUAUCUUGGUUUUCCUUCUCGUGGAGGACCUAGGUCCCAUGUGUAUUUCCUGUUUUUUUGUCACUUUAUAAUCGGCACUGACUGAUUGAUGCAUAGAAGCUUCGAAGAACAACGCCCCUUGGUGAAAACAAGAAAAUAGUGAACACGCUCUCGUUGUCAAGAUAGAGUUAUUAGGAAAUGUCAUCAUUUAAUUACAAUUAGUUGGGGAAUUCUGCCCCACAGAUUGCCAAGUUGGUGUUUCUUUAUUCUAAAAAGGAAUGGAGAUUUCUUUUUCUGAAUGUGUGGUUACAACGGAUGGAUGUAUUAGCCCAAUUUGCCAAACUCACCUUUAGUUAGUUGCAAUGAACAUAUUACGUUUCUUAAAAAUGUACAAUAGAUGUAUUUAUCAUAUAUUCCUUGUCGCAACUAGGUGCUCACAUGCUUGUGGAUUUCGUUUUCAGGAGGGAACGGUCCAUCUGCGGCAUAAUAAUGACAGCACAGUGCACAACCGCAACAACACUUAGGAUACAAAACACACUAAUCAUAUAAUUUCAUAUCCUAAAGAACCCACAAGUAGCUGAUCAAGUGUGUAUCCUACAGAUUCGCAAAAAAAAGUGUGUAUCCUACAGAAAAAUAUGAAUUCUGUCGCCAAAAAUAUCCGGAAAAUGCCUAUAAUUCACGGCGAAUUUAUUCAUCUUUGACAUGAGUAGACAAAGUUGGGCGUUAAAUGUUAAUUUCUAUCUCGAUCAGUCUACUAGACCUAGACAAAGUCUAUUCGAAUCAGGACCCCCAAAUCAAAGAGGAAUAAAUAUCUUGGUUUGGGUCGCCAUCAUUCCGUGUGAUAUGCGAGGGAAGCCCUAUCUAGCCUUUUGUUUUUUUUUUCAACCGGCCGACACCUUCUCCCUCUUGUGAUGCAAUUGCAUCUCAUCGUGAUCAUGCCUUUGCUCAAAGUUAAUGCUAAAGGAGAAAAGGAUUGCCAGAGAUUGCUUAAGCCACAAACAAUAUCGUCAUAUUCAUGCGAGAUACAAACACCUGUAGAUCACAUUUUGAUCUUGAGAACCAGCUUCCUUGAUUUGCGUUAAAAGUUUGUGGAGAACUAAUUUUCAGCUCCCUUGAUUGCACAGAUACCAUGCACAAUUGCACAGAUAGUGCACUAGCAGUGAAGUUCAUGGAUAUCCAAUACAACUAGCUCAAAUAGAAUAUUUUUACACGAGCGACUUUUUUUAGCGAAUUAUUCACAGAAUUGAUUUGAUAUGCAAAAUAUUGGCCGCUUCAAAUAAAUCUGUCAUACCAUUAUAUUUAUAUCUAUGAUUAGAGUGCUGAUCGACCUCGGAAUAUUCUAGUAAGACGGAUUAUCCAUCUGCCGACACUGUACGUCGACUUCGAGCGGAGUCAGCCAAUCGCCAAUUCAAGAGGUCGGCGGGGCCGUGCCGGCCACUACUAUCGCGGGACCCACUGCCCGCUGCCCUACGGUACCCUGUCCGGUGCCGGCCGGUGGGCAGUGCACGUAGAUUCAUAUGUGGGUACGGCAUUUCUCAUUUUGUUGUUGAUUUUGCAGCCACGAAAUAUCGGAACAUAUAUAUUUAUGAAUUAUGACACAUGUUGCAUAGAACAACUUAUUGUUGUGCAUAAACCUACAGCAGUUUUGAUAGUACAAGAUAACCUUUUUCAUAAUGGCCAAAGUACCAUACUUUCAUAUUAUUGAUUAUUCCAUCCAUUCGAAAUUGUAGGUCGUUUUGGUUUUUUUUCUAGAUUCAUAGAUAUUAUUAUGCAUCUAGACACAGUGUAUGUUUAGAUGCGUAAUAAUAUCUAUGAACUAGAAAAGUCAAAACGACCUACAAUUUGGAACGGAGGGAGCACUAAGCUUUUCUAAAUAUAUAGAUUUUGCUAUGUAUUUAAAUAUAAUAUUAUAUCGAGAUACAUAACAAAAAUUAUAUAUUAAAAAAUUAAAAUAAUCUAUAUUUUAAAAUGGAAGGAUCGUUGAAAUUGCUCCAUGACAGAGGUUGAAAUUGCUGGUGAAGUUUUUCCUUGCACUUGUGGAGAUAGAUGGAACCAUUUGCCAAGGACCGUCAAGUUGAUCAUGAAUCCAGCGUCCACGGUUUCAUAAUGCGCUACGCAACAAAGUAUGUACACGUGUCGGGUGUUUAGCUUAUUAUACGUGUACGUAUUUCCACAUCGCAAUAACCCACGUCAGCAGUUAACGACCGUCCCAUUCCGCUGGCCGGCCGGCUCUCCGCCUAUAUAACGCGAGCAAGUGCCGAGGUGCCAAGCAGCAACACAAGUAAGCCAAACACAUCAGCUACCAAGCAAGCACCACCAUCCUAUUGUCACUUUCGCGCUUCAACAAGGCCGUCCCGUUUCAUCCAUGGCGGAGGAGAAGCACCACCACCACCACCUCUUCAACCACAAGAAGGACGAUGAGGCGGCGGAGCAGCCCGCCGGCGGGUACGGCGAGUACACGGAGGCGACCGUGACGGAGGUGGUGUCCACCGGCGAGGACGAGUACGACACGUACAAGAAGGAGGAGAAGGAGCACAAGCACAAGCAGCACCUCGGCGAGGCAGGCGCCGUCGCCGCCGGCGCCUUCGCUCUUGUACGUCCUCCUCCUCCUCGAUCUUUCGUGCUUCCUUCGUUGUGCUGAUCAAUCUUUAAUUUCACUGUGUGAUCUAUCGGCCGCGACGCGAAUGAACUUUGGCUCCGAGUUAAAUAAUUCCUUGUGUGCAUGCAGUACGAGAAGCACGAGGCGAAGAAGGACCCCGAGCACGCGCACCGGCACAAGAUCGAGGAGGAGGUCGCGGCGGCGGCGGCCGUGGGCUCCGGCGGCUUCGCCUUCCACGAGCACCACGAGAAGAAGAAGGACCACAAGGACGCCGAGGAGGCCGGCGGCGAGAAGAAGCACCACCACCUCUUCGGCUGAUCUAGCUCGUCUGCACCAGCACCGACGUGUAUCUCUUGUCUACAUAGUAUGCGCUUCUUAAUUUCUCCGUAUAUAUAUGCUGCGCGUGUGUGAGAGUGUGAGACUGAGAGGCGGGCCCGCGCGCCCGGUGUGUGUAUUUUGGCUUUCCUGCGUACGUACAUACAUGUAUGCGUGUGUUGAAUAAGGGGGCCACGGGUUCCGUAUACGUGG